ensembl:lncRNA
CAAUUUAAUAGAAUAAAACAGAUAAAACAGAUCAUUUAUUAAAAUAAAUAUCCUAGUCAAGUUUGUUCAGAUAAAAGCUGUACAUGUUUAUCCUCUUUUGAGAUUGCAAAGGUAUAAAAUGACCAUUUUGCUAAAUUAAAAUUAAUAAACAACACUUAACAUGACACCUACAAACCCUCAAAAAUAUGCAUGUACUUCCUUUUCUGAGUUCUCUGUUGAGUUAAGAAUAAUUGCUCUCUCACUUAGGGAUUUUAUUAUGCUUUUUUUACGUAAACAACUCUAGAGAGGAUGAAUGACUGAACUGUGUGAACUGUCAAUAUGUAGGCUAUUUAUAUGAAUGUAUAUACAUUAUCUGUUUUUAUUUGUAUUGCAUUCAGGGUCAUCAGAUCCACCAAGGAGAAAUGGGGGAAAUCCAAACAAUGCCUUCAGUCAUUUUCUGUCUACUCUGAUGCUGUGCCUCCUUGCACUGGUCCUGUCACACUUUGUAGCACACUGAAAAAAGAUCAAAGUGACCACGAGCCAAUAGAACUGACAUUUAUUGCUGUUACACUGAUGCUCACUACUUAGUUACCUCAUCUAGUAUACUCACUGUGUAGCUGUUAGGGAAACUGUUCUGCUGUUGAGGGAAACAACUGUUACAUAAGAUAUAAAGAUUAGUCAUUCAGUUUUGAUUUAACGUGCAAGUAAUGAUCCAUGUAAUUGUUUCAGUUAAUAGAAUCAAAGCGUACUCCCCAGCACUGCAUGUUUAUUAGGUCUCUCUGAUUGGAAGAGAGCAGGGCUCUUGCACUGAAGGGAGCAACAUAUUUUCUUCAUUAUCUUCUCCUGGAUUGUUAGCAUGACAACAGCAUCCAUAAACACAAUGCAUCCGCUGUACUUACAGUAUAAUUAUACUAUGUCAGAUGCUUAUGAUUCCCAUGAAUGCAUUAACACUAAUGGUGGCCACAAUUGCAUCUGUUUAGUAGUAACCGAGUAAGAGUAAGUUGAUUAAUGAGUGUGUGUUACUUUCUUAAUCAGUUGUUUGUUUUGUAUUUAUGAUUGCACAGAUGAACUGUUUUUUAAUUGUUCAGUGUAUAUAAUUUUUUUGUUUAUUUAAUUUUGUGUGUGUGUGUGUGAUUUAAGAUUGCUGUGAGAAGUUUCUAUUUUUGAUUUGGACUAUUUGUAAUCUUAAUUGUUGACUGUUUUUCUGAUGAACGGUGGCUAAUAUUCUGGUACUGAAUUCCAAGUUAAAAGUUGGAAAAAAAAAAUAAAAAAUUAAUAAAGAGCUGAACUGUGAAUAUU